AAGAGGAUGACUUUACCUCUCCUAUUACUACCGGCCAAAAUAGCCCCUAGCAACCCCCUCUUUUACAAAAUUUCCAGCAAAAUGUUCUCCUGCAUUUCAUCCAUAAAAUGCUAGAGUGAAUGAGGAGUGAAAGUGAGGAGAAAGGCCACAAAAUAGAGAUGUAGAGAGAGAGAGAUUCACGGCUAAAGGCAGAAAGAGAGGGAGAAGAAUCAACCAAGGAAGAGAACAAGAAGAACAUGUAUACAGUUGUGAAAAAUCAUCCUUAAUCCUUGCUUAAUUCAUAUGAAGAAGCAUACAGAGUGGGACCUGACUUCUCACAUGCAAGUACAACAGAAGUUCAAGGUAAGGGUUGCCCCCUUGCUUCUUUAAAUUGUUUAAAUUCUUGUAAUGCUAGUUAUAUGAUAGACAUUAUAUGUAUUUUGUACUACUAUGUAUCAUGAGAAAUAUUGCUAUAUGAAUAUUGCUUAUGGGGAGUAUAAAUAUUGUUGCGUGAAAGUUACCAACAAGUAGGAAAAAAAUUAUUAUUGUGUGACCAUUGCCAAUGAGCAAGAAAUGUUAUUGCAAUGUGAAUGUUGC